rnacentral:rRNA from 1 species
UAGAGGUCCGCCUGCCUGUGACUAUAUGUUCAACGGCCGCGGUAUUUUGACCGUGCGAAGGUAGCGCAAUCACUUGUCUUUUAAAUGGAGACCUGUAUGAAUGGCAUAACGAGGGCCUAACUGUCUCCUUUUUCAAGUCAAUGAAAUUGAUCUUCCCGUGCAGAAGCGGGAAUAAUCACAUAAGACGAGAAGACCCUAUGGAGCUUUAGACAAAAAGCAGGUCAUGUUAAGCACCUUUAAAUAAAAGACAAAACUCGAUGCUUUCUGCCCUAUGUCUUUGGUUGGGGUGACCGCGGCGAAACAAAUAACCCCCGUGUAGAAAGAGGGCUCUGCCCUUCAAAUCAAGAGCUCCCGCUCAAACUAACAGAACAUCUGACUAAACAAGAUCCGGCAACGCCGAUCAACGGACCGAGUUACCCUAGGGAUAACAGCGCAAUCCCCUUCUAGAGCCCAUAUCGACAAGGGGGUUUACGACCUCGAUGUUGGAUCAGGGCAUCCUAAUGGUGCAGCCGCUAUUAAGGGUUCGUUUGUUCAACGAUUAAAGUCCUACGUGAUCUG